rnacentral:rRNA from 1 species
GAUCCUGGCUCAGGACGAACGCUGGCGGCGUGCUUCAUACAUGCAAGUCGAACGAGAAGCUGACUUCGGUCAGUGGAAAGUGGCGGACGGGUGAGUAAUAUGUAGAGAAUCUGCCCUUGAGUGGGGGACAACAGAGGGAAACUUCUGCUAAUACCCCAUAUGAGCUAACUUGAAAUAGUUAUCUUGAAAACUCCGGUGCUCAAGGAUGAGUCUGCAUCUGAUUAGCUAGUUGGCGGUGUAAUGGACCACCAAGGCGACGAUCAGUAGCUGGUUUGAGAGGAUGAUCAGCCACAAUGGGACUGAGACACGGCCCAUACUCCUACGGGAGGCAGCAGUAGGGAAUUUUGCGCAAUGGGCGAAAGCCCUGACGCAGCAACGCCGCGUGAACGAUUAAGCCCUUCGGGGUGUAAAGUUCUGUCAGUAGGGACGAAUUUUGACGGUACCUACAGAGGAAGCACCGGCUAACUCCGUGCCAGCCGCCGC